CUACGGGGGGCAGCAGUGGGGAAUAUUGGACAAUGGGGGCAACCCUGAUCCAGCCAUGCCGCGUGAGUGAUGAAGGCCCUAGGGUUGUAAAGCUCUUUUGUGCGGGAAGAUAAUGACGGUACCGCAAGAAUAAGCCCCGGCUAACUUCGUGCCAGCAGCCGCGGUAAUACGAAGGGGGCUAGCGUUGCUCGGAAUCACUGGGCGUAAAGGGUGCGUAGGCGGGUUUUUAAGUCAGGGGUGAAAUCCUGGAGCUCAACUCCAUAACUGCCUUUGAUACUGAAGAUCUUGAGUCCGGGAGAGGUGAGUGGAACUGCGAGUGUAGAGGUGAAAUUCGUAGAUAUUCGCAAGAACACCAGUGGCGAAGGCGGCUCACUGGCCCGGUACUGACGCUGAGGCACGAAAGCGUGGGGAGCAAACAGGAUUAGAUACCCCUGUAGUCCC
rnacentral:rRNA from 1 species